GCUUUGAGAACUUCCUCCUAGCUGCCUGAGGAUGCCAGUUUUCUUCUGUCUGCCUUCAGAACAAGAUGUAGAACUCUCAGCAACUCCUGUGCCAUGCCUGCCUGCGCACUGCCAUGCUCCCACUCUGAUGAUAAUGGACUGAACCUCUGAACCUUCUGUAUCUGUCCAACAGAUUUCCUCUCAGCAGAAGCAGCAAACUUCUGCAAAGCUGCCUCCACACUGCUGGUCCCGAGUGGUCCUGCUUCAGAAACUGAGUGUGGACCUUCUCAAAGAGGAUGUAAACGACCCUCCAGUGUCAAUCAGCCAGCCAAUAUGAUUACUGCCUUCAAGCUCUAUCAAGGAACCAGAUGCUUCUGAUGGGACCUCCCCAUCUCCUGCCACUGCCUGUCCCCUCCACUCCAGCCUGAGUUAAAGAUGACCCCUGGCCCCUGAAUUGAAGCACUCAGCUAUUUCUUCCCCCUUAUCAUCAACAAAGGCUGUAAUGUCAGGUCUCAGGUAGUACACAUUCAGAAAUGGGCUCAAGCUUGACAACGGACAGACUUCUGGUGGUUAAGCCAGCUCUCCUUAGGAACUUGUGAAAUAGGUUCUUAGUUCCCAAAAGGAGUUGUUUCCCUUGCCUCUGGCAGAAGGGACAUAGGGCGUUCCACUGACACACACCUAUGGUUUUAUACCAUAGUCCAGGCUGGCCCUCUGGCCCUCCCCUCGCUACAGGCACUCAAUCUCUGCCCCCAUUCCUCUCUGGCAGAUAGCCCUGACCAUGUCCCAAUGGAGCAGCCAUUUCAGCAGUUUCUUUACUAAACCCCUCACACACAGUGAGAAAGCAAGGUCCAAGGCCCCACGGCAAGCCAAAUUCACAAGUUACACACACUUAAGGAAAACUGCAUUCUCAUGGGUUUUUUGUUUUUGGCUUGUUUAGUUGCUCUGUUUAAGGGUUAGAUGGGGAUGGGGAGUAUGCGCCAUGACAGGCGAGUGGAGGUCUGAAGACUGGGUCUUUCCUUCCUCUAUGUGGGUCCCGGGGAUUGAACUCAGGUCAUAAGGCUUGGCAGCAAGCGCCUUUGCCUGCUGUGCCUUUUUACUGGCCACUUGCUUAAGUUUUUGAGAUAAGAGUUCCACUUUGUAGCCAAGACUGACUGCCUGCCCUGGCCUCUCCAAUAAUGGCCUUAUAGGCAUGGAACUCUCUUGCCCGCUAUAAAAGUUUUUCAUUUACUCCUGGGAAGAAAAAUAAAUGUAGAAAAGCAACGGGCACAUUGGUUUGGAGGUGUGGAGCUCACUGAACAGAAAGAACCUCUGUGGCAGACAGGGUUAAGAAGUAUCCUGACUCCUGUUUCCUAGGGAGUCAGAGCUCAGCAAGGGUUAAACGAAGGGUUAAGUAAGAUAAGAGCCUGCCAAGGGCCGUGCUGAGCAGGGCAAGCUCAGACAACACCAGGUUACAAUUCUAAUGUCUUACUCAUAGAAAUGAAAGCAAGCGGGGUGUGCCUCAUAGGCCUCAUGGGCAUGCCUGUCACAGCCUCUAGCAGAGCCACCGGACAGCAAGCUAACAUUUGGUGGACAAACUCAAAGAAAACCUCAUACACUAAAGAAAUGUAAACCUGAUAAAAGAUCCACUAUUCUAGGGCUGUCACAAAAGGCACGUUGUGGUGGCAUCUGCCCACCCAUGGCUGAGCCAACACUGGAGAGGAGAGGUCAGUGGACUGUUGGGAGUUUGAGGCCAACCUGGACUACACAAAGUGAGAUUAUCUCAGAAAAAUAAAAGAUCAGUCAGUCAAGC
rnacentral:lncRNA from 1 species